CGUAGGUGGCAAGCGUUGUCCGGAUUACUGGGUGUAAAGGGCGUGCAGCCGGGCCGGCAAGUCAGAUGUGAAAUCCACGGGCUUAACCCGUGAACUGCAUUUGAAACUGUUGGUCUUGAGUAUCGGAGAGGUAAUCGGAAUUCCUUGUGUAGCGGUGAAAUGCGUAGAUAUAAGGAAGAACACCAGUGGCGAAGGCGGAUUACUGGACGACAACUGACGGUGAGGCGCGAAAGCGUGGGGAGCAAACAGGAUU
rnacentral:rRNA from 1 species